CCAGAGAAGAAAAUAGUUUAUAAAGUCCAGGCCUCUGAAACAAUCCGCAUUUUAUUAACACUAUACUUCUUCUAGCUGCUACUAUCAGACUUAUAAUGUGAAGUAUCACCCAACUGGCAUACGUGGUGAGGAAAGACAUAUGACUUUUUUUACGUUUCACUUUUCUCAACUAUGAGCACAAAAUUAAGAUUUUAAACACUAUCAAUGUGCUCAAAAUGUCUCUGGUGCCCAAGAGUUCCAAAUGCAUUAUUGAUUGAUCGUGAGCACAGUCGUAAUGGAAUUGAAACAUCCAAGCAAAUAGCUGUUUCUUUAAUAUUUGUUUAGUUCACAAAUUAUA
rnacentral:lncRNA from 1 species